UACAGAGGGUGCGAGCGUUAAUCGGAAUUACUGGGCGUAAAGCGUGCGUAGGCGGUUAUUUAAGUCGGGUGUGAAAGCCCCGGGCUCAACCUGGGAAUUGCAUUCGAGACUGAAUAGCUAGGGUACGGUAGAGGGAAGUGGAAUUUCCGGUGUAGCGGUGAAAUGCGUAGAUAUCGGAAGGAACAUCAGUGGCGAAAGCGAGGUCCUGGACCCUUUCUGACGCUGAGACGCGAAAGCCAGGGGAGCGAACGGG
rnacentral:rRNA from 1 species